AGGAAGUUAGCUCACUGGUAGAGCGAUCGACUUGUAAUCGAUUUGUUAUAGGUUCGAUUCCUAUACUUUCAACCA
rnacentral:tRNA from 1 species